ACAUCAGAUCUCGUCGGCUAAGACAACACGAGAGAACGCACGGUCAGCCUCAGGCCCUCAGCGGGCAACCCGUUCGAAUGCAUGUGCUGACGUCAGGUAAGUCGAUUUCCUUCACAUUCUCUUCAAUUCUUUUGGACCUGUCGCUUUCAAGUCGAGCCCCCAACCCUCCCUUCUCUUCUCUACUAAUUAAACCCUGUGUACCACCCCCACACUCACUUCUCCCUUCACACUUUGCACCUCUCUCUCUCUCUCUCUCUCUCUCUAUCUCUCUUUAUGGGGAGAGAGAGGGACAGUUCUUCAGGUUGCAGAUAAGAAAGUUGGAGAGAAGUUUAUAUACAGUCAGCCUGGUUACCCAAGAAUUCCAUUAUCAUGUAUGGGUUUAAAGCUUCAAGUGUCAGAAUCUUCUGCAGGAAUGGAAACUUCUUUGAUGAGAUCUUAACCAACUUUUGGUUUCUCACUCUAGAUUUUCCGAUUUGGUCACCUUGAUUAGGUGCUAUCCUACCUGAGCUUUUUCUUUUCUCUUUCUUAUCUUUUUUUUUUUUUUUUCUUAAAUUAAUGUUUCUCCUAUGUGUCUUCUUGACCUUGUAAGACCUUUUUUCAUAGUUGUCAUCUUCAUUCUCCAUUUUGUGAUUAACUCUCCAUUAUCAGCUACAGAUGGAGGUUUUAGUUUUAAACUUUCCCUGUACCCGCCCAACUCACCUUCUCUCUUCCUGUCUAUCCCUCCUGAGCUUUUCCUUUCCCUUGUUAUUGUUUAAUCAGAUUAAGUUGAAACCCAUUUCUCUAUGCAUUCCUCGUUUAAUCUCUGGAAGUGGAAGAAAAACAAGAAAGGUGAUGAGGCUAUGAGACUGUGAGACUAUUCGUUGAGAUGUACUCAAGAGACCCAAGAAAAUAGCCUUGUACUGCUUCUGAUGACUUGUUUUAAUUUUCUUACUUUUUAAGAUUACCUUUUUGGUUUGUUUUUAGGGCCUCUGAUGUUCUUUGUAUUAUGCGUACAGAAAUAUGCGUUUUGCAGACAUCAAUUUCGUUGUUUUAUAUGCUGUUGUCUGAUGAAAUAAUACAGAGAUUUAUUCUCUCA